UAAGCUAAGCCAAAUUAGCCGUAUAACUCCAAAGUGAGAUUUGAAAAACUAGACAGAAUUAAUCUUUUAUUUUCUUUAUAAAUACGGAGCACUACUCUUUCAAUUUGUUUUAUAUAUAGAAAAUGAUUUAGAAAAAAAAAAUGCUUUUGACGUUUGUGAUUUUUUUACUAAGUAUUUAAUUUAACUAUUUAAUAAGUGAAGGUUUUGGUAGUACGGCGAAGGGCCCUUUUGAUAUUUUCAUUUUUGGUUACAACCCGAGGUUUUAUCUCUUGAGGACACGUAAUGUGAUAGCUGGUUUCAACUUUCGUUCCGCUUUCUAGCAAAAAAGGAGCUUUCAUUCCACUUCGACAAACUCUCUUUGUCGAACAACAAUGGGGGCUAACUUGAAGGAUUUCUCCGAUGUUCUGGUUCUUCCCAUCGAUUGAAGCUCUGUAAUGCCAUGUUUUUCUAUUUUUAUCUCUCUCUAAAUUUAUUAUUUUCUUUUUUCACUCUCUAUCUGGAAGUUAAUUUUCAAGUGUAAGCACUUGCUAAUUAAUACUUUGUUCCUUCUGUUUCAAAAAUAAAUUUAGCAAAAUUAAAUUUUUAUCUCUCUCUGAAUUAAUACUUUGUUCCUUCUGUUCUUCUAGGAUUUUCUAAACAUGCAUAUUCUCAGUCACAGUCUCCACUCUCCACUCUCCACUUUUUUUUCGACUGUCUCUACGAAGACAUUUAAAUAGCGAGCCAAUUUUGCCUUCCAGCAAGGUGUGGUGAGGUUAGUUCAAUUUUCAUUUUAGUUUUUCUUUUGGUUUUGUCGUUUUGGGGUGUCUUUUUAUUUAUUUUCUGUUUGAUUUUUUAUUUUAUUUUUUAUGUUUCUUUUAAUUCUUGUUGCUCUGCUUGGGUUUAAUCCUGUUGCAUGCAUUGGCUUUUGGGGUUUAAUCUUGAUGCAUGUAUUGAUUUUUGGGUUUUUAACUUUUGUUCUUUUUUAGUUCUUUCCAUCAAAUAAAUUACAGAGAACAUAAAUAGAAGACAAGUCAGGCUCUCGAAGAGGCUUAAUAGAUUUGUUCGAAGAAACUCGAGGUACUUUCCGGUCCUACUCAAUGCAAAAGUCGCAGUUGUAGUUUUAUGUUGUAUAAAUGUGCAAAGAGAUGGAAUCACCGACCCAGUUUGCGGUUUAUGCAGCAUCGAGUAAUAUUAUGUCAUAUGGUCAUUCAGAUGCAUGGUCUACAAAAUAAGUGAACUGCGGAAAAUUCAUAUUGAGAGGUACGAAAAUGAACUAUUUUCUUCCUCCGUAAAGUACAAGAGUUUUUCUCAAUUAUUUAAGUUUUGAGAUUGAUGAUGAUGAUAUUUCAUUUACUGGGAUAUUUCAUUUUUAUAGUCUAUCUCAUAUUUAUGGUCUAUCAAAGGAGUAGUGGAAUAUCCUAUUGGUUUCGGCCACAUUGAUAGGUUAUUCAUGAAGAAAUGGCUGCAUGAAGACAAGGCCAAUUGACAUUUUCAAGAAAAGAAUAUUGGAAACUUUAAACAGAAAAUUACUUAGGUUACUCGCAGCAGGAAAAAAGUUCAAAUGUCGGUCACAUGCAUUUGAAGCGGAAAAUUGAUUUAGAUGGAUGAAAAUGGCUUGCAUGUUCUAGUAGAUAUUAUUAGUUUGACAACUCUCCCGUUUGUGUAAUUGUAACUAAAGUAAUAGAAUAUAAGUACCUUUUGUCUAUAUUAUUGCAAUUCAUAACAGAGUUACUUUAUCUAAUUUAUUCCUCAGUGUUCAGCUUUUUAGUGAUCUUGUAGUUGCACAAAUAAUGCACAC